UUCGACGUCAUAAGGGAACACACGUCCUCACCGCUGUCUCCUGCACUCUCACUCUAGCACCACCACAUCAUGGCAAGGGGUAUGGUAGUGGUGUUGGUGUGUACGUGGGCGUGCACCGUGGGCGGGACUUACGGCGCACCCGCCCCUCUACUUGGUGUUACCAGCGGGCCCCAGCAAGCAGCACAAAUGGGUGGCCGGCUACUCCGACCACCUGCCGCUCUACGUCCCCAAGCCCUAUAUCAUCCCUAAGUGGGUGCCUCACGUGGACCCCACCUACACUGCCUUCUGGGUGGCCCACACGCCCGCACCCACUAAGGGGCACAGCCUGGAAGC
rnacentral:misc_RNA from 1 species